UACAGAGACUGCAAGCGUUAUUCGGAUUCACUGGGCGUAAAGGGUGCGCAGGCGGCCAAGUGUGUUAGGUGUGAAAGCCCGGGGCUUAACCCCGGGAUUGCACCUAAAACUACAUGGCUAGAGCAUUGGAGAGGGGAGCAGAAUUCACGGUGUAGCAGUGAAAUGCGUAGAUAUCGUGAGGAAUACCAGAGGCGAAGGCGGCUCCCUGGACAAUUGCUGACGCUCAGGCACGAAAGCGUGGGGAGCAAAAGGG
rnacentral:rRNA from 1 species